GUGUCAGCCGCCGCGGUAAUACGGAGGAGGCAAGCGUUAUCCGGAAUUAUUGGGCGUAAAGCGUCCGCAGGUGGCUCGCUCAAGUCUGCUGUCAAAGACCGGGGCUUAACUCCGGAAAGGCAGUGGAAACUGACAAGCUAGAGGGCUCUAGGGGUAGAGGGAAUUCCCGGUGUAGCGGUGAAAUGCGUAGAGAUCGGGAAGAACAUCGGUGGCGAAAGCGCUCUACUGGAGAGCAACUGACACUCAGGGACGAAAGCUAGGGGAGCGAAUGGGAUUAGAUACCCCAGUAGUCCUAGCCGUAAACGAUGGAUACUAGGCGUGGCUCGUAUCGACCCGAGCCGUGCCGUAGCUAACGCGUUAAGUAUCCCGCCUGGGGAGUACGCACGCAAGUGUGAAACUUAAAUGAAUUGGCGGGG
rnacentral:rRNA from 1 species